rnacentral:lncRNA from 1 species
ACAUAGGUCCCCAGAGAAUUUCAAUAUGUCUGAUGUCAAGAACGGAAAGUGAGACAGCCAGGUGGGAGGGGGUCCCUGGAGAAUCUCCAACCAGCCUGCGCACUGGGAAUGCGCACUGGAGUGAAAAUACAGAAGUUGGUGCCCUUUGCAGCAGCCAGGAGUCCGACUCCUCCUCUUCCUGUGUGGAACCUGGAAUUCAAACGGCUGGGGCCUCACUCACGGCAUAUGGAACUAACCACGCCCCUAACUAAGAAGGCACACCUUAGUUGCAGUUAGCACACAAUUAAAGCAACUCUCCAAGUUUUACCUUAAAGUUCAAAAUUGCUAGGAGUUGAAACUACUAGAAAUAUAUUUACAUGCAAGAGUCAAAGAAACUUUGAACUAUUUAUGGCCUUUAAUAAUUAAGUAAGGUAUACUCCUGUGAUCAAGACUUGGAGCAUAUUUGUUUCUCUCUGCCUGGUUCCUCUAGAAAUUGGAAACUAUCAGAACAGAGACCAACUCCGUUUCCCGAUCCCUUUGCAAUCUGCAUUGAACCAUGAGUCAAGUUCUUGAUAAAGGAGUGAAAAUGGAUGACAUUUAAGGCACAUCUGAAGAUGGGGAAACCACAGCACAGAAUAAGGCUGGGCCCUUGAAUCAAUAAAUGAAGGAGAACUACUCAAGAGAACAAAACCACCAGCAAUAUCCACCUGUAUUUGUCUUUUCAUAAUGUGUGACACAUGUGCUCAUGGAUUAUUGUCCGAAGCAAGACAUGUGACCAAGCCUAACAUCAACUGGGUGAAGAGCUAUAUGUUCCUUUCUCAAGAGGCACUACAAGUGACAUGCCACUGGGCAGGUAAGAUCCUCUCAAAUGAAGGGACUGUGAAUAUUUGACUAAUAAUACAAAUAUUUACUGGAUAUUUUACAGUGAUAUUUACAAAUAUCACUGGCUAACUUUUCCCAGCUUGAUAUCCUGAAAGAGGCACAGUUUCAGUAGUAAAUGGUAAAUUUACCUUGAUUGCACUGAAGGCUAUUUCUUUAAAACUAUUUUCUUUCCUUUUGACUAUUCCAUGUAUCCUUUCAGAAGUAAACAUUGUUUUUACCCCUUUAAAAAGUCUACUUAUACCAUCUACUUAAUUUGGAAUUUAUCUAACAUUGCCAGUUUGAUAUAGAUACAGAAAUUUAAUGAGAAAAUGCAGUUCUAUAUUUAGAAUAUGGAUUCUUCAAGAUGUUUCUGACACACAUUUGUUUUCAUUGAAACAUUAAACAAUUAUUUAGCUAACA